UGCAAGUCGAGUGCGCGCCUGUAGCAAUACAGGUGGCGCACGGCGCACGGGUGCGUAACACGUGGGUAAUCUGCCCUUCGAAGGGGAAUAACUCGCCGAAAGGCGAGCUAAUUCCGCAUAACAUUCCGAGAAUUUCGGUUUUCGGAUUCAAAGGCGUAAGUCGUCGGAGGAGGAGCCCGCGCACGAUUAGCUAGUUGGUGAGGUAAUGGCUCACCAAGGCUAUGAUCGUUAGCUGGUCUGAGAGGAUGGCCAGCCACACUGGAACUGAGACACGGUCCAGACUCCUACGGGAGGCAGCAGUGGGGAAUCUUGCACAAUGGGCGAAAGCCUGAUGCAGCGACGCCGCGUGGGGGAUGAAGCUUCUCGGAGUGUAAACCCCUUUCGACCCGGACGAAAACCUCGCAAGAGGAUUGACGGUACGGGUAUAAGAAGCCCCGGCUAACUACGUGCCAGCAGCCGCGGUAAGACGUAGGGGGCCAGCGUUGCUCGGAAUCACUGGGUGUAAAGGGUUCGUAGGCGGUGUGGCAAGUCGGGAGUGAAAUCUCUGGGCUCAACCCAGAGUCUGCUUCCGAAACUGCUGUGCUUGAGUGUGGGAGAGGCGCGUGGAAUUGCAGGUGUAGCGGUGAAAUGCGUAGAUAUCUGCAGGAACACCCGUGGCGAAAGCGGCGCGCUGGACCACUACUGACGCUGAGGAACGAAAG
rnacentral:rRNA from 1 species